UUCUAAAUUUCCAUUGCUCAUAAUCAUAUCAUCUUUAAAUAAUGACAGUUUUGUUUCUUCCUUUCCAAUCUUUAUAAUUCUUAUUUCUUUUUCUUACC